rnacentral:rRNA from 1 species
UUUUAUGGAGAGUUUGAUCCUGGCUCAGGAUGAACGCUGGCGGCGUGCCUAAUACAUGCAAGUCGAGCGAACGGACGAGAAGCUUGCUUCUCUGAUGUUAGCGGCGGACGGGUGAGUAACACGUGGAUAACCUACCUAUAAGACUGGGAUAACUUCGGGAAACCGUAGCUAAUACCGGAUAAUAUUUUGAACCGCAUGGUUCAAAAGUGAAAGACGGUCUUGCUGUCACUUAUAGAUGGAUCCGCGCUGCAUUAGCUAGUUGGUAAGGUAACGGCUUACCAAGGCAACGAUGCAUAGCCGACCUGAGAGGGUGAUCGGCCACACUGGAACUGAGACACGGUCCAGACUCCUACGGGAGGCAGCAGUAGGGAAUCUUCCGCAAUGGGCGAAAGCCUGACGGAGCAACGCCGCGUGAGUGAUGAAGGUCUUCGGAUCGUAAAACUCU